CUAAAAAUGACACGAGUCAGAGAAAAAGUCCCUGGAACUUGAAAUCGUUCUUAAUUCUACGACCACAACGAUACGAUGGAAUGUACAAGUAAGGGAAGUAGUACCCGUAUCUGCUGUGGAGGGACGACCCCAGCCCGGCGCCCUGGAGGCAAGCAAGCAAACCGUUGUAAAGCCAAAAGAAAUAAAACA